rnacentral:rRNA from 1 species
GAUGAACGCUGGCGGCGUGCCUAAUACAUGCAAGUCGAGCGAACAGACGAGGAGCUUGCUCCUCUGACGUUAGCGGCGGACGGGUGAGUAACACGUGGAUAACCUACCUAUAAGACUGGGAUAACUUCGGGAAACCGGAGCUAAUACCGGAUAACAUGUUGAACCGCAUGGUUCAACAGUGAAAGACGGUCUUGCUGUCACUUAUAGAUGGAUCCGCGCCGCAUUAGCUAGUUGGUAAGGUAACGGCUUACCAAGGCAACGAUGAGUAGCCGACCUGAGAGGGUGAUCGGCCACACUGGAACUGAGACACGGUCCAGACUCCUACGGGAGGCAGCAGUAGGGAAUCUUCCGCAAUGGGCGAAAGCCUGACGGAGCAACGCCGCGUGAGUGAAGAAGGUCUUCGGAUCGUAAAACUCUGUUAUUAGGGAAGAACAAAUGUGUAAGUAACUAUGCACGUCUUGACGGUACCUAAUCAGAAAGCCACGGCUAACUACGUG